UACGAACUGUGCGAACGUUAUUCGGAAUCACUGGGCUUAAAGGGUGCGUAGGCGGUUUUCUAAGUCAGGUGUGAAAUCUUCCGGCUCAACCGGAAAACUGCGCCUGAUACUGGAGGACUGGAGUGAGGCAGGGGUGUGUGGAACUUCCGGUGGAGCGGUGAAAUGUGUAGAUAUCGGAAGGAACGCCAGCAGCGAAAGCGGCACACUGGGCCUUUUCUGACGCUGAGGCACGAAAGCCAGGGGAGCGAACGGGAUUAGAAACCCCCGUAGUCC
rnacentral:rRNA from 1 species